UACGGGGGGAGCAAGCGUUGUUCGGAUUUACUGGGCGUAAAGGGCGCGUAGGCGGUCAGCACAAGUCAGUUGUGAAAUCUCCGGGCUUAACUCGGAAAGGUCAACUGAUACUGUGCGACUAGAGUGCAGAAGGGGCAACUGGAAUUCUCGGUGUAGCGGUGAAAUGCGUAGAUAUCCGAAAGAACACCGGUGGCGAAGGCGGUGGUCUGGGCCUGAACUGACGCUGAGGAGCGAAAGCCAGGGGAGCAAACGGG
rnacentral:rRNA from 1 species